rnacentral:rRNA from 1 species
AGAGUUUGAUUCUGGCUCAGGAUGAACGCUAGCUACAGGCUAACACAUGCAAGUCGAGGGGCAGCAUAACGAAAGCUUGCUUUGUGAUGGCGACCGGCGCACGGGUGAGUAACGCGUAUCCAACCUUCCCUGUAGUAGAGAAUAGCCCGGCGAAAGUCGGAUUAAUGCUCUAUGUUGUAUUUCGAAGACAUCUGAAGAAUACCAAAGGUUUUACCGCUAUAGGAUGGGGAUGCGUCUGAUUAGGUUGUUGGCGGGGUAACGGCCCACCAAGCCUACGACCAGUAGGGGUUCUGAGAGGAAGGUCCCCCACAUUGGAACUGAGACACGGUCCAAACUCCUACGGGAGGCAGCAGUGAGGAAUAUUGGUCAAUGGACGGAAGUCUGAACCAGCCAAGUAGCCGUGCAGGAUGACGGCCCUAUGGGUUGUAAACUGCUUUUAUAUAGGGAUAAAGUCGGGGACGUGUCCCCGUUUGUAGGUGCUAUAUGAAUAAGGACCGGCUAAUUCCGUGCCAGCCGCGGC